rnacentral:lncRNA from 1 species
GCAGACUGUGUUCUCGUGAAGAUGAACAAGGGAAGGUCUCAGCACAGAUGCUCAGAAAGCCUUUUUUUUUUUUUAAACUGGGAAAUGUCUGAGGCAGUCUAAAAGCCUGUUAGAGGUUGCAGGUGAAAAAGUCUAGAAGAGAAGGGCACUAAUGUCCUGCAAAAGGCAUGUGCUGUUACUUUGGGAGAGAUUGUAAAACAACCAAGAUCACAGUACUACUGUGACACAGUUAUAAGUAGAAAAGAGCUUUCAAGGAAUGAAGGAGUGAAGUGAAGGAGAGAAGUAAUGAACACACUGAGACUGUCCUGCUAGGGGAAUUCAGGCCCAUAAAGCUGGGAGCAGCUCCCAGCCAUAAUCCCAACGCUUGGGACGCUGGGGCUGGCCUGGGCUACAUAGGAAGAAGGGAGGCAGAAACAAUUGAGGUGAAAGGAUUGUUCCAGAGGUGCUCCCUUUCUAGCACAGUGCUCAGAUGGUAGUAGGUCUCUUCAGAACAGCUUUUUCUUCUCUUUAAAUUCAGGACGUAAUCUAGGACUCUGCUCCCUGAGCCCCAUGUUUAAAUGUCUAUCACAGAAUGGCAUUCAUUCUACACCUACAGGAUCAGAAAUGCCAGGCUCCAUCAUAUACUCUGUGAAGUACUUGUCAUGUGUGGUGUAGGGUUGUAUUUUUUUUCCCUUGAAUUACUAUAAAUCCUAAAUAUAAAACAUAAAGGAAAACUAAAAAUUUUUAAAGUGCAAUUUGGAAGCCUGUGAAGGUGACUGAUAUCAGUUUUUGAUACCUUGACAAUUGUAGCCUUGUUGGGAUGACCACUUAACAGUCACAGAGGUUGUUUUCUUUUCUAUUGGCUUAGACAUCACUGCUAAGGCUUCCUAUGUUGCUGCUUCCCCCUCAUUGUCAGCAUCUGAAGCCGUGCCUAUCCUCUCUGGGGGCUUUAAUGUGCCGUUUGUUUUGUUCCUGCUCUUCUUUGCCAGCAACAGCCAUCAUCCAGGUUGAAGACCAGAAUACAGGUGCAAUUGAGAACAUUAUAGUUGAAGUCAAAAAAGAGCCAGAUGCCGAGCCUGCGGAGGGGGAAGAGGAGGAGGCUCAGGCAGCACCCGCAGACGCCCCCAACGGAGACCUCACGCCUGAGAUGAUUCUCAGCAUGAUGGACCGGUGAUGACGGGGCUUUGCUCGCCACCAGGACUGUUGGGCUGUGUUUAAACGGCC